rnacentral:other from 1 species
GGCGUGCUGCGUGGUGCGUUAGGCCAUUCGAUCCCUGGGGCCAAUAUCGAAACUCUAGGGAGCUGUCCCUGCCGGAGCCGUGGUUCCGGUAUAUGGCGCCCACCUGCUUAGGCAGGCCACAGAGGAUGAUGCAAGCCGACGGCCGACGUGGCACCCGC